GUACUUUCCUGAUAGGGAGCCAUCGGUGGUCAGGAGGGCCUAGGUUCCAGGACAAGGCUAUCCCAUUGCACUUCAGGUGUGCUGACACCUACAAUAUCCCCAAAUGCAGGAUACUCGAACGCAGAAUUUGUUGUAGUGGGGGACAGCGUUUGCGCUCUCCCCUG